rnacentral:rRNA from 2 species
AUUUGGAGAGGAUGCUUUUGGCGCGGCGCCGUCCGAGUUCCUUGGAACAGGACGCCACAGAGGGUGAGAGCCCCGUACGGACGGACGCCUAGCCUCUACAAAGCUCCUUCGACGAGUCGAGUAGUUUGGGAAUGCUGCUCUAAAUGGGAGGUAAAUUUCUUCUAAAGCUAAAUACCGGCCAGAGACCGAUAGCGCACAAGUAGAGUGAUCGAAAGAUGAAAAGCACUUUGAAAAGAGGGUUAAAAAGUACGUGAAAUUGUUGAAAGGGAAGCGCCUGUGACCAGACUUGCGCCCCGUGGACCACCCGGCGUUCUCGCCGGUGCACUCCGCGGGGCGCAGGCCAGCAUCGGUUCUCCUAGGGGGACAAAGACCGCGGGAACGUAGCUCCUUCGGGAGUGUUAUAGCCCGCGGUGGCAUGCCCCUGGGGGGACCGAGGACCGCGCUUCGGCAAGGAUGCUGGCGUAAUGGUCACCAGCGACCCGUCUUGAAACACGGACCAAGGAGUCAAGCAUUGGGGCGAGUGUAUGGGUGCCAAACCCGCACGCGAAAUGAAAGUAAACGCAGGUGAGAGCUUCGGCGCAUCAUCGACCGAUCCUGAUGUCUUCGGAUGGAUUUGAGUAAGAGCCUUACCGCUUGGACCCGAAAGAUGGUGAACUAUGCCUGAAUAGGGUGAAGCCAGAGGAAACUCUGGUGGAGG